AGAGUUUGAUCCUGGCUCAGAGCGAACGCUGGCGGCAGGCCUAACACAUGCAAGUCGAGCGGCCGUAGCAAUACGGCAGCGGCAGACGGGAGAGUAACACGUGGGAACGUGCCCUUCAGUUCGGAACAACCCAGGGAAACUUGGGCUAAUACCGGAUACGCCCUUACGGGGAAAGAUUUAUCGCUGAAGGAGCGGCCCGC
rnacentral:rRNA from 1 species